rnacentral:misc_RNA from 1 species
GAUGAAGAACGUAGCGAAAUGUGAUAAGUAAUGUGAAUUGCAGAAUUCAGUGAAUCAUCGAAUCUUUGAACGCAUCUUGCGCUCCUUGGUAUUCCUUGGAGCAUGCCUGUUUGAGUAUCAUGAGCAAAUCUCAAAGUCAAUUCCUUUUGUUAAUUCAAUUGGUUUUGCUUUGGACUUGGAGGUCUUGCAGAUUUUCACAGUCUGCUCCUCUUAAAUGCAUUAGCUGGAUCUCAGUAAUUAUGCUUGGUUCCACUCGGCGUGAUAAGUAUCACUCGCUGAGGACACUGUUAAAAAGGUGGCCAGGAAAAUACUGAUUGAACCGCUUCUAACGGUCUAUUAAGUUAGACAAUUACCCUUAAGUUUGAUCUCAAAUCAGGCAGGACUACCCGCUGAACUUAAGCAUAUCAAUAAGCGGAGGA